rnacentral:lncRNA from 1 species
GGACAUAAUUUAUAAAUUGGACAAAAGGAAUUGUGACUUAAAUGCAUCAAUUGUGAUCUAAUGGUAUAUCAUUGAUUUGAGUAAAAAAAAAAAUGGUACAUUAUUAAUGGUACACAAGUGAGGGACUUAACUGCUCCAUCAUCUUUGAAGCCACCUGUAUACAUUCUUGUGUUUCGUUUGUUAUAUUUUUGCAAUACAAAG